AGAGUUUGAUCAUGGCUCAGAUUGAACGCUGGCGGCAUGCCUUACACAUGCAAGUCGAACGGCAGCACGGGGGCAACCCUGGUGGCGAGUGGCGAACGGGUGAGUAAUACAUCGGAACGUGUCCUGUUGUGGGGGAUAACCCACCGAAAAGGUGAGCUAAUACCGCAUGACCUGGAAACAGUAAAGCGGGGGGACCGCAAGGCCUCGCGCGAUUGGAGCGGCCGAUGUCCGAUUAGCUAGUUGGUGGGGUAAAGGCCCACCAAGGCGACGAUCGGUAGCUGGUCUGAGAGGAUGAUCAGCCACACUGGGACUGAGACACGGCCCAGACUCCUACGGGAGGCAGCAGUGGGGAAUUUUGGACAAUGGGGGCAACCCUGAUCCAGCCAUGCCGCGUGAGUGAAGAAGGCCUUCGGGUUGUAAAGCUCUUUCGGUGGGAACGAAACGGUUCGUGCUAACACCACGGACUAAUGACGGUACUCACAGAAGAAGCACCGGCUAACUACGUGCCAGCAGCCGCGGUAAUACGUAGGGUGCGAGCGUUAAUCGGAAUUACUGGGCGUAAAGCGUGCGCAGGCGGUUAUUUAAGUCAGGUGUGAAAUCCCUGGGCUUAACCUAGGAAUUGCGCUUGAGACUGGAUAGCUUGGAGUGUGGCAGAGGGAGGUGGAAUUCCCGUGUAGCAGUGAAAUGCGUAGAGAUGUGGAGGAACACCGAUGGCGAAGGCAGCCUCCUGGGCCAGCACUGACGCUCAUGCACGAAAGCGUGGGGAGCAAACAGGAUUAGAUACCCUAGUAGUCC
rnacentral:rRNA from 1 species